UGGGGAUGCCAAGACCGAAAACGUCCGUAUAACAACAACCAUAUUAGUUAUUAGUUCCAAUGCUAACCUGAAAGGGGAGAGGAGGGGUGAGCAAUUGAAUUACCCAGUGAGGUGAACCAUAAGAGAUUCAUUAUCACUUUAAUAUAUUAAAACAUAGAGAUUAAGAAGUCUAAUCCUAAAACAAGCUCAAGCAGGACUCAAUCCUAUACCUCUAAAACAAAUAAGACACAAGAAAAAAAUCAUCCGGUUUACUAAGUUCGUUUUCCGUCAAUUCGCCCUUAGCUCAUCAUCAUGCUCAAGGCAUGGCAAACUCCUUCAUGAUCAAGGCAUGGCAAACUCAAUCAUGCUCAAGGCAUGGCAACUACCCAUCAAUUCUUCUCAUGCUCAAGGCAUGGUAACUCUAUGCAUCUUUAAGUUAUUCAAACAAGCACUCUAAUUUCCUAAACAAGAGCAAAGCACUGCACAUGAUGGGAUCUGAUCCUGCCUUCCUUUCCAGAUAGGGGAUGAGCCUGCCAUCCGUGACAUGCUGAGCCUGACAUAUCACCGUUAGUCAUAUUGACAAUGAGUGGUUCACCAAAACUACCUAACAAACGCUGUUGGUCCAACAGGCCCCACACAGUUUCCCAGCAAGAAAUCUCGUACCAUAGGAUAACUUGUGACGAGUACCUAACUCGAUCUACUGAACAAGGUCAUUAAUGGUUGCUAACAAGCAAGCUUCUACAAUUUAAGACUUCAGACCAAUCACCACACAACUUGUCAAUCAUUUCAUUCUUUCUAUCUAACACUUUUAAAUAAUCUCUAGCAACCUAGUUCAUCAUCAAGCAAUAUCCAGCAAUCAUUAACACUAUCAUUAAGAACAAUCAUCAUUAGCAAACCAAUCAAUUAGACACAAUAGCUAUGAUUUAAGAACAGACUAAUUUACACCCUAGAUUACAAUAUGCAGGAGUUGGAUAAGAAAGAACCCUCACCUUUGCCUUUCUGAAUGCAGAAACCUUAUUCCACCUUCUUCAUGUUCGAGCAGAUCUGAAAACCAACCUGAAAACAGCCAUAACUCUCAACUCAGAACUCCGAUAUGCACGAACUCUGUCUUCCCGGAAAUCUGAGACUCGGGGCUACAAUCUGAUAGGUUGCUCGUCGUGUGCAUCCUCACGGUUCGCUGGAUAAUCGCCUCGCAUGUUGGCGGCGCGGAAAGAGAAGGAGGAGGCCGAGAGAGAGGGAGGAAGAGAGGAGAGUGAGUUGCAACGGCGAGGAGAGAGAGGAAAGAGCAGAGAGAAGGAGGAUCAGGGUCACACCAUGGAGGAGGAGAGGGGGAAGCUUGGCGAAGAGGAGAAGGAGAAGAAGAGAAUAUGGUUGGGAAGGAAAAGAGAAAAAGACUAGGGUUUCUGGGAUUAGAGGGGGUUUAUACAGGGAUUUCCUUCUGAUUUAGGAUAGAAACUAAAUUGAAUCAGGCAAAGAAAAAAUUAAACCUGUUUCAAUUAUGUUGGACUAUCACACUCUCCCCUGUUGCGAAGGAUUCGUCCUUGAAUCCCUCCAAAUAUGAGCGCUGUAAUGAAAUGAAUGCUCGAGCUAGAAAGUAGGGACAAUGAUUGCGACAGGGAUGUAAAGAAUUGUUAAGAAGACAUGAAUAAAGGAGAGAGGAAAAAUAAUUAGUCUAAAAUGGUCUUAGAUGGAAUUAGAGGAAAGAACACGGAGGAUAAAUGGGAGAAGGGAUGAGGGAAUGAAGUCUAUGGUAAAGAAAAGAAGGAAAAUAUUAUGUGACAGAACUUGAUGGUCAAGUGAGAAGAAGGAGCUGACAUGGAUUGAGGGAAAGGGGAUAAAAGAUAAUGAAAAAUUUAUAGGGAAAGAUGAACAAAGGUAAAGAGAUAAUAUGAAAUUUAUGGUGAAGAAAAGAAGAAAAAGAAUUGAUGUAAAGGAGUUUAUAAUGAGGACAGAAGGAAUGGAUUAAAAAGGAGCAGAUUCUUAGUGAGAGGGAGGAGUGAACAACAACCAAGAAAGGAAUUAUGGCACUAGCAGAAGGAAAGAAAUGUUACCUCGUUGCAACUUAUGCUAAGGAAAAGAAGGAAGGGAUACCUUGGAGCUUACGCUGA
rnacentral:lncRNA from 1 species